rnacentral:rRNA from 1 species
GACGAACGCUGGCGGCGUGCCUAAUACAUGCAAGUAGAACGCUGAAGGCGGAGCUUGCUUCUCUGGAUGAGUUGCGAACGGGUGAGUAACGCGUAGGUAACCUGCCUGGUAGCGGGGGAUAACUAUUGGAAACGAUAGCUAAUACCGCAUAAUAGCAGUUGUUGCAUGACAACUGUUUGAAAGGUGCAAUUGCACCACUACCAGAUGGACCUGCGUUGUAUUAGCUAGGUGGUGGGGUAACGGCUCACCAAGGCGACGAUACAUAGCCGACCUGAGAGGGUGAUCGGCCACACUGGGACGGGGACACGGCCCAGACUCCUACGGGAGGCAGCAGGAGGGAAUCUUCGGCAAGGGACGGAAGUCUGAACGAGCAACGCCGCGGGAGUGAAGAGGGUUGUCGGAUCGUAAAGGUCUGUUGUAAGAGAAGAACGAGUGUGAGAGUGGAAAGUUCACACUGUGACGGUAUCGUACCAGAAAGGGACGGCUAACUACGUG